rnacentral:lncRNA from 1 species
GUCGCGACCUAAUUUUUUCGGGGUGUGAACCACCUAGGGUUUGGCUAAUGGAUUGUUAAGCCUAGACUUAACUCGGGCUCUCCCAAGCCCAUACCAAUUCGCGACUUAGGUUUGAAUUGUUAACAUGCAAUUUUUUUUAAUUAGGAGUCGCCACUAAUCUAUUUUUGGUGGGUCGAUUAGAAACCCAAGUAAAGUAAUGGGAGAAUUAUUUUACUUCUACGAAUCAGAGAUUAUGGGUACGGGGACUUGGUUACACUAGAUUUCUCUAAUGCCCUUUCGGUACCAUUCUUUUAAUUUUGAAAAAUGUUUGGCAAGGAGUUUGGAUUGAUUUUAAACUAAUUCCCUAACAUGUGAGGUGUUCAUGCAGGUGCGCAAACCACCAAUUUAACACUCAAGUAAAGCAGAAAAUAAAUUGCAGGACUUACCUCAAAGCAACGAAAGCAUCUGCAAUGUUAAAUUAAAAUCC